UUUGAUGUUACAAUAAACAUGAAAUAAGUUUGUGAAGACCUUAGUGCCAAAAAUACUUGCAUGCAUUAUACAUGCAUGCUGUAUUAUAAUAUAGCAUUCAUGCAUGAUGCAUUCAAGUAUAAAAAAAAAGUUACAAAUGUUUAAUUAUACAAAAAGAUUAUGGAUGUGGUACUGCAAGUAUAUUCAAUUGAUUAUGCAAGUAAGUUGUCCUACUUUACAUCUUUGAAGACUAAUAAUAAUUGUAAUGAACAUAUCUCAGACAAUAUACACUCGGAUUUAUAUUUUAGUUAAACCAUCACCACUUCCACAGCCACCUUGUCUCAAGCAUUAAAUCGCAUUCUAAGAUAUCUUUAUUCAAAUUAAGUGUGACUACUUUACCAAAAGACUCUAGAAUGGACCAAUCAACUAACCCAUCAGUACUUGCAAAGUCUCCUUUUCUGUAAGCCCAAAAUUGAGUUCUAAAAUACCAUUAUCCGCAUAACUACUAUAUCAAAGUACAAUCUAAUGGAUUGAUCAAUGAAACUGUCGGUAUCUCCACAACUUUUCAAUUAAAUAGAAAGUUUCAAUUAAACAGGAUACUGAGUGUGCCUACUGCUCCUCGAGACAAUGAAUAAUGGGAGUUAUCAAAUAGAAUACUAUAUAAUAUUGUAUUACUAUGUUUAGGAAGGGCACUGCAGUUGUCCUGCAGUUAUGCAACUUAUCAACCCAUAACUGUGAUAACUGCCAAUUUUUUUAUAAGAAAAGAGAUUGUAUGACUUCGGUAUCCGCAAUACGGUAUCGUGCAUUGAUUUCCAUCUUAGAAUGGCUCCCUUGCGUAUAGGUGGAAAUAGGAAAGGUUAUGCCCUUUUUUCUAAUUCUUGAGACGAAGAGGCUUAAUCGGUUCAAACAAAGAUGACGAUGAUCAUUAUGGAGCCGAUCACGAUGACGAAUACGAUAAUGCAUAUAAUAAUAAAUAAAAUGAUUUUACUUGUAUCUUAAACUUAAAAAAUUAUUU